rnacentral:rRNA from 1 species
CCCUUGUCAUUAGUUGCUACGAAAGAGCACUCUAAUGAGACUGCCGGUGACAAACCGGAGGAAGGUGGGGAUGACGUCAAGUCCUCAUGGCCCUUAUGGGUAGGGCUUCACACGUCAUACAAUGGUACAUACAGAGGGCCGCCAACCCGCGAGGGGGAGCUAAUCCCAGAAAGUGUAUCGUAGUCCGGAUUGUAGUCUGCAACUCGACUGCAUGAAGUUGGAAUCGCUAGUAAUCGCGGAUCAGCAUGUCGCGGUGAAUACGUUCCCGGGUCUU